GACGAACGCUGGCGGCGUGCUUAACACAUGCAAGUCGAACGGAAAGGCCCCUUUGGGGGUCCUCGAGUGGCGAACGGGUGAGUAACACGUGAGUAACCUGCCCUUGACUUCGGGAUAACUUCAGGAAACUGGGGCUAAUACCGGAUAGGAAUCCUUGCUGCAUGGUGGGGGUUGGAAAGCUUCGGCGGUUUUGGAUGGACUCGCGGCUUAUCAGCUUGUUGGUGGGGUAGUGGCUUAUCAAGGCUUUGACGGGUAGCCGGCCUGAGAGGGCGACCGGCCACAUUGGGACUGAGAUACGGCCCAGACUCCUACGUGAGGCAGCAGUGGGGAAUAUUGCACAAUGGGCGGAAGCCUGAUGCAGCAACGCCGCGUGCGGGAUGACGGCCUUCGGGUUGUAAACCGCUUUCAGCAGGGGCGAAGCUUGUGGUGACGGUACCUGCAGAAGAAGCACCGGCUAACUACGUG
rnacentral:rRNA from 1 species